GAGACAUGACCCAAGCCCUGUGGAGGCAGACACAGACCCUGGCCACCAUCACUUUCUAGGCACUUUCUAUUUUGGUCCCAGCCCCACUCGCUGCUCCAGGAGAGACCUGAGGAGGACAUGGGGACGUGGAGCAGUCCCAGGUUUGGAAAGCCCAAGGAUAUCCCCAUUUUCUGCUGGUUUUGGGAGACAAGCUGUCAGAUGAUGCAGCCUGGAUCAGCCCAGCUAAGCCUGGAGAAGAUCAGGAGCAGAUUUGGAUGAGGAGAUCAUUUGCCAAAUCAUUAAAGGAAAGAAUGAAGAGAAUGGGAUGACCAGCAACUAAAAACUGCGUUUUUCUUAACAAAUUUAUGUGAUUAUAAUAUUAUUUUGAAGAAAAUCAUUUUAGAAAGAAAGAAAAAUUGGAUGAGAUUGCUUUUGAGGUCAGAUUCUCGACUCAGUUACACCAGUAGCUCUCUGAUCUACUGUAGCAAUUCAAGCCAUCAUGUUCACAUUUUCCAUCAAAUAAGUGGACAGAACUCUGAUGGCAGCUUGUCUGGUGACAGACUCUGUAUGUGCACCCAGUGCUUACUUGCCAAAAUACAAACCAUCAACAUUUUCCCUGCUUGCACUCCCAGAUCAGGACUCUGAAAGAAUGUUGUGCAGGCAGGAUUGCAGUGCUUCUUGCACCACCUUACAUCAACAUCCACUUCCACCUCCUUUUACACCAGCAGAAGUUCAGAAGCCAGUGGCACCUUGGAAACCACCUGUGAUUGCCACAAGAUGUUAUGGAUACCAGAAAUACAAAUUAAUUCAAAAAGCUGUGGAAUUCUUGAAAAAUGGUCCAGCGAGGCUGAUUGAAAUUAAACAUCACAGGUCACCAGCAGCUGGGAAGAUGCUGUCUGACCACUUUUGCAUUGUCCAAGACACCCAGCACAGGACAUUGAAAAGGAGAGGAUAUAAAUGAGCUUCUGCAAUGACCCAGUAUGAUACCUUACCUGUGUAAAAGGUGCAUUUUCCAGCCCCACAUUUCCUGAGCAGGGCUGCCAAGAGCUUCCCUGCCAACCCCACCACUCAUUUCUGAUUUUCUCUAUCACAAUGUCAUAUUACAAAGCAACAUCCAGAGUUAAUCCCACACUGGCUUCAAAGGUUUUUUCACCAACAUAUUCUAAGAGGAAUAUGUAGGUCAUAAUCAGCUGUGAACUUGAGGAAGAGAAUGUGGUCCUGUUCUGCUUCCAAACAAGAUGUCUUUCAAUCUGUGAGUGUGGAGAUGUAGCAUCUCUGCUGUGGAAGAUUUCAACUGACCUCUAAUUCUUCCUUUCCAUCUUGUAGCUUUCUGUAUUAACCAACACCACAAUUAAAAGUUCCUUAAAGAGCUUUCUAGUGUCUGUUUUUGAUGACACCUCUUCAGGUGGGAAGUGUGGCAUAGGGUGACAUGAAAUAGGAAUGUUGCCUCUUAAAGCCUGCUUAAAGAAGUUGCUUUCCGAGUCCCUUAUCUGAGCAUGGAGGAAUUUUCCAUCCAGCCUUCACAUCCUGCUGAACAGGAGGGCUCUUCCCUGCAAUGGACACUGUGCUACAGAUCCUGUGUUAUCUAAACUAGGGUGAGAUCCCUGGUUUCCAUACCCAGCACUGACAUGUCUCCAAAGAAAAGGACAAUAAAUCCAUGGAAAUAAAAAACCCCCAAGCUGUCAGAUCACUGUGGUUUCCUCAUAGGUUGGCAUCAUCAACCCCCAUCAACCCUGGGGGAUAAUGAGCACAACCAGCCAAGCACUUGAAUUUCCACACUCUGGUGUGCUCAGGGCACUUUUCUCCUGGGUGGGAGCAGGAAUCUCAUUCCUGUGUUCACAAGUUAAGGCUGCUCCUCCUGUAUUUUUCGAUAAUUCUGUGAGUCCCCUCAGACUAAGGAACGUGGAAUAAUUUCACACCAGCAGCACAGCAUUUCUUAUGCUUUUUCUCUAACCUCACCUGACGUGUAGAAACUUUCCAUCAUCCCACCAUAAAAGCAGAGCAGAAAGUGAAGAGUCACAGGGCAGCAGUGAGGGUUAAUUCCACAGACUUCAGAAUUCACAGGAAAGGACAGGGCGAGCUGUGCUUGCAUAAACAGUUAAAGGUUAUUUUCAAAUAUUAACCAUGGCAGCAGA
rnacentral:lncRNA from 1 species